rnacentral:rRNA from 1 species
GACGAACGCUGGCGGCGCGCCUAACACAUGCAAGUCGAACGAGCGAGAGAGAGCUUGCUUUCUUGAGCGAGUGGCGAACGGGUGAGUAACGCGUGAGGAACCUGCCUCAAAGAGGGGGACAACAGUUGGAAACGACUGCUAAUACCGCAUAAGCCCACGGUGCCGCAUGGCACAGAGGGAAAAGGAGCAAUCCGCUUUGAGAUGGCCUCGCGUCCGAUUAGCUAGUUGGUGAGGUAACGGCCCACCAAGGCGACGAUCGGUAGCCGGACUGAGAGGUUGAACGGCCACAUUGGGACUGAGACACGGCCCAGACUCCUACGGGAGGCAGCAGUGGGGAAUAUUGCACAAUGGGGGAAACCCUGAUGCAGCGACGCCGCGUGGAGGAAGAAGGUCUUCGGAUUGUAAACUCCUGUUGUUGGGGAAGAUAAUGACGGUACCCAACAAGGAAGGGACGGCUAACUACGUG